ACACGACUACAUUAGAUACCCGGGUAGUCCUAGCCGUAAACGAUACUCGCUAGGUGUCGGCCACGGUGCGACCGUUGUCGGUGCCGUAGGGAAGCCGUGAAGUGAGCCACCUGGAAGUACGGCCGCAAGGCUGAAACUUAAAGGAAUUGGCGGGGGAGCACAACAACGGGUGGAGCUUGCGGUUUAAUUGGAUUCAACGCCGGAAAUCUUACCGGGACCGACAGCAACAUGAAGGCCAAGCUGAAGACUUUGCCGGAUUAGCUG
rnacentral:rRNA from 1 species